rnacentral:lncRNA from 1 species
AGGCUGAGAUAACAAAUCGUAUCAUUCUUCAGGGGCUCAAGGCUGGACUUGAUCGAUCCAAAGGAUAAUGGGUCGAAGAUCUCUACAAUAUUUUCUGGGCUUACAGAACUACAUUUUGACUCCCAACCGAUGAGACCCCUUUCAACCUGGCAUACGGAACGGAAGCUGUUAUCCCCAUGGAGAUCGGGCUCCCCUCACUAAGAGUGGAGAGCUAUGAUGCCGCCUCCAACUCAUCUCAGCUCAGGAACAACUUGGACCUCGUCGAGGAAACCAAGGAGGCCGC